AGCUUUAACCUUCCCCCUCCCCCACAAGGAACUUUUGAGAGCCAAGCUAGAAGCAAGGCUUAGGAUAGGGCUAUUCUAAUUCAGAUGUCACUCAAAGCCCUUAGGCAAUGGAUUUCAAGCCAAAUCCAAGCAUCUUGACUUUUAGUUUAUUUACACUAAAACACAUAUCUAAGCUCAGGUUUUAAAUGGAAAAGUGUUUGGUCAAUAACGUCCAUUAACCCGGCAUCAUUUUAAUGAGAAGAGGUAAGAAGCAAGAUUGGAUUUCCUAAAUAACACAGCCAAAACCGCAGCAAAACAAAUGUUAGCAGAAAAGCAUGCUGGGAAAGAACUGCUUGCUCUCCAAAAUCAAGUUUUCCAAAAGCCAGGUGAUGGGGCACAGAGGACGGAUCAUAGCGACGAUUCUUCCGACAACAAACCAAAGGAAAAAAUUGUCACCCAGGUCCAAUUUGGUAAAUCAAUGAAUUGACGGAGCUUAUGGGAGCACAGACGGGGAGCUACUUACAGGAUCAGAGGAGACUCGUAAACACCUGCAUCCCUGCAAAAGGACCACCCCAUCAUGGCUGAUGACUCAUGGAAGAUACAUCAUGGAAUCCAGGCCUUCGGUUAGCCUUAAGGCUCUACGUUUUCUGGUACCUCCCAAGAUAACUGUUCGGCUGAGGUAGAAUUACACCCAGCUGGGAGGCAACCGAGGUGAGGCGUGAUUGGCUAGAAACUCUGGGAGGGCGGACCAACCCUCCCCACCCCACCCCACCCCUCUGUGAGGAAACACCAACAGGCUGGAUCUUGUUGAGGGGCUCUUGUGGGUAAUAUAGCUGCUCUGUAAUGGCUGUUAACGUUCAGAAGAAAACAUACUGCAGCAAAACUCUACAGUGUUGGCUACUGGGCCUCGCCUGUCACACUAGUAUGUGUCUCAGCACUGUGACAGAACACUUGAUAAUAACAGCUUAAGGAAGGCAGUGUUUACUGUUGGCUAGAAGUUCGAGGAUCCGCAGCAUCACAAUGGUGACGGUAGAGGAGGUCAGACACAUUGUACCAUAUUCAGGAAGGGGAGAGAGAGAAUGUUAUCCACACUCUCUCCCUUUAAUUCAGUCCGAAAUCCCAACCUGUGAAUCGCACCCACCCAUCUUUAGGAUUGGAUUCCUUCUUCAGUGACCAUUUCCUUCCAGAGACAUAUAGACACACCCAGGAAUGUGUUUCCAUGGUGAUUCUAACUCCCAUAAAGUUGAGAAGAUUAUCACACCUGCCUUUCUCGUUUGCUACUCAAUUAGAUCACAGUAACAUAUAUUCGUUUUAAAAAUAAAGCAAACAAAAAUCCCAA